GAUGAACGCUAGCUACAGGCUUAACACAUGCAAGUCGAGGGGAAACGAUGAGAGAGCUUGCUCUCUUAGGCGUCGACCGGCGCACGGGUGAGUAACGCGUAUCCAACCUACCCAUUACAGGGGGAUAACCUUGCGAAAGUAAGACUAAUACCCCAUGGCAUUUUAUGGUGGCAUCAUUAUAGGAUUAAAGAUUUAUUGGUAAUGGAUGGGGAUGCGUCUGAUUAGCUUGUUGGCGGGGUAACGGCCCACCAAGGCAACGAUCAGUAGGGGUUCUGAGAGGAACGUCCCCCACAUUGGAACUGAGACACGGUCCAAACUCCUACGGGAGGCAGCAGUGAGGGAUAUUGGUCAAUGGGCGAGAGCUUGAACCAGCCAAGUAGCGUGCAGGAUGACGGCCCUAUGGGUUGUAAACUGCUUUUAUAGGGGAAUAAAGUGAGCUACGUGUAGUUUAUUGCAUGUACCCUAUGAAUAAGGACCGGCUAAUUCCGUG
rnacentral:rRNA from 1 species